GAUGAACGCUGGCGGCGUGCCUAAUACAUGCAAGUCGAGCGAACAGAUGAGGAGCUUGCUCCUCUGACGUUAGCGGCGGACGGGUGAGUAACACGUGGAUAACCUACCUAUAAGACUGGGAUAACUUCGGGAAACCGGAGCUAAUACCGGAUAAUAUAUUGAACCGCAUGGUUCAAUAGUGAAAGACGGUUUUGCUGUCACUUAUAGAUGGAUCCGCGCCGCAUUAGCUAGUUGGUAAGGUAACGGCUUACCAAGGCAACGAUGCGUAGCCGACCUGAGAGGGUGAUCGGCCACACUGGAACUGAGACACGGUCCAGACUCCUACGGGAGGCAGCAGUAGGGAAUCUUCCGCAAUGGGCGAAAGCCUGACGGAGCAACGCCGCGUGAGGGAUGAAGGUCUUCGGAUCGUAAAACUCUGUUAUUAGGGAAGAACAAAUGUGUAAGUAACUAUGCACGUCUUGACGGUACCGAAUCAGAAAGCCACGGCUAACUACGUG
rnacentral:rRNA from 1 species